rnacentral:tRNA from 1 species
GUUCCGGUAGCUCAGGGGUAGAGCAAUCGCCUGCAGUUCUUCGGAAUAGUUAGCGAUAGGUCAGGCGUUCGAAUCGCCUCCAGAACU